rnacentral:antisense_RNA from 1 species
GUAAGCAUGCAAAGUGCGCUGACACAGCGCGGAACGCACGCAAUCCUCUUUGCCAAAACGGACAAUGCCCACCAUCUCGUCCUCUUCAAAACGCGCCAGCGCGUCCGCGAGACCAGAAGGCACCCCAGCGGGCAAAUCGCACUGGGUUAUAUCGCCGUUAACAAUCACCGUGACGUUUUCGCCAAGGCGGGU